rnacentral:rRNA from 1 species
UAACAAGGAUUCCCCUAGUAACUGCGAGUGAAGAGGGAAAAGCUCAAAUUUAAAAUCUGGCGGGCUCUGUCCGUCCGAGUUGUAAUCUGGAGAAGCGUUUUCCGCGUCGGACCGUGCAUAAGUCUCCUGGAACGGAGCGUCAUAGAGGGUGAGAAUCCCGUCCAUGGCACGGACCGCCGAUGCUUUGUGAUACGUUUUCAAAGAGUCGAGUUGUUUGGGAAUGCAGCUCAAAAUGGGUGGUAAAUUCCAUCUAAAGCUAAAUAUUGGCGAGAGACCGAUAGCGAACAAGUACCGUGAGGGAAAGAUGAAAAGCACUUUGGAAAGAGAGUUAAACAGUACGUGAAAUUGUUGAAAGGGAAACGCUUGAAGUCAGUCGCGUCCGACGGAACUCAGCCUUGCUUCGGCCUGGUGUACUUUCUGUCGGACGGGUCAACAUCAGUUUUGACCGGUGGAGAAAGGUAGGGGGAAUGUAGCGCUGUUUCGGCGGCGUGUUAUAGCCCCUUGCUGUAUGCAUCGGUUGGGACUGAGGACCGCAGCACGCCUUUUUGGCCGGGGGUUCGCCCCACGUACCGUGCUUAGGAUGUUGGCAUAAUGGCUUUAAGCGACCCGUCUUGAAACACGGACCAAGGAGUCCAACAUGCUUGCGAGUGUUCCGGUGGAAAACCCUUGCGCGUAAUGAAAGUAACAGUUGGGAACCUCCGCAAGGGGGUGCACCGACGCCCGGCCCUGAAGUUCUCUGACGGUGCUGCGGUAGAGCAAGUAUGCUGGGACCCGAAAGAUGGUGAACUAUGCCUGAAUAGGGCGAAGCCAGAGGAAACUCUGGUGGAGGCUCGUAGCGAUUCUGACGUGCAAAUCGAUCGUCAAAUUUGGG